GGGGCUGUAGCUCAGUGGCAGAGUGUUGCCUAGCAUGCAUGAGGCACUGGGUUCAAUCCUCAGCACCACA
rnacentral:tRNA from 1 species